GUCUGUAAAUGGUGACUCCUGUCAUGCUGUCCCUUGCUUAGGACCCUCUGGUGACCUCCCGUCAUUCACAGGGUAAAACCUAAGACUCCGUUUUCUAAGCCCCUGGAAAUGGGCCCCUGUACUCUUCCUUCUACUUGGACUUCUCUGAGCAGGAGGUUCCAGAAUCACAUGCCUUUCAUGUUGCCCUCAAUUUGGCCUUUGCAUCCACUGCCUGCAGUGCUCUUGGCCUGGCUCCGUGUAUGGAUGGCCCCUGCUUGCCUUCUGGGUCUCAGCUAGAAAGAUGCUGUAAGGACGAAGUUUUCAGGUCGAGGUGGGCUCCCUCUGUGCCCUGUGCCCACCUCUGUGCCCUUUGCUCAAAACAGAGAGCUAUAAAAAUUCCAUUCUGUAAUCCCACCCUAUAUGACAGUGUCCUCCCUGUUUCUGUUCCUCUUUUUCUGACCCAAGGAUAAAUCUAUCUUCUUCCCGAUUGUUGCUUAAGAUAGUUAGAGAAUCAUAUGUUUAAACACGUUUUUUUUAAUCAUAUGCUUUGUUAAAUAUAACAAUUGGUUAAUCAAAUGUUCUUUGGAAAAUGGAACUUGACCCUUUGUAACCUCCCCUCCCUUAUUUCCAGUAAGUACCCUCCUAUUUCCAGUAAGUACCCCAAUAUCCAACAGUAAUCAAAGAUAAAAAUAGCACCAAUAAAAAGGAUAAAGCUCCCCAACCCUAUAUAAUCCUGCUUCAAAGAUGAGUCUGGACUCUCAGUCUGGAGCUUCUGUGACAGUGACACCUGAGGGUCCAGGCUCAAGCUUGCAAUAAACUCCUCAUGUAAUUACAUCGGACCUGACUCCUUGGUGGUCUUUGGGGACUUCGUGACUUGGGCACAACAUUUGGGGGCUCGUCCGGGAUCCCCAAGGCACCAGGACUCUCUCUGGAGGAGAUCGGCCAGCAGAAGGUGCAAGUAUCUCUCCAAGAAUUAGCAACAAAAGAGCUCCUAUGGAACGCCAGAUCCAAAAUAAAAGACAAACUCAAGGCACAUCAAAACUACCACCAGCACAAACGAUACAAGACCCAACCCUGGUCUCGAGGACCUAGAAGACCCUUGCCCCAUUUUUUAGGUUCCAUGAUGCCCUGUUCAGCAGGAAGUAGUUUUACCAGGACAAUGCCCCUAUUUCCCAAGAUUGGGUCCCUAAGGUCCUUGAGAAGGGAAGAAUGUAAGGACCAAGUUUUCAGGUCGAGGUGGGCUCCCUCUGUGCCCUGUGCCCACCUCUGUGCCCUUUGCUCAAAACAGAG
rnacentral:lncRNA from 1 species